GCCUACGGGGGGCAGCAGUGAGGAAUAUUGGUCAAUGGCCGAGAGGCUGAACCAGCCAAGUCGCGUGAGGGAAGAAUGUCCUAAGGAUUGUAAACCUCUUUUGUCGGGGAGCAAAAAGGCUCUGCGGAGUCGUAUUGAGAGUACCCGAAGAAAAGGCAUCGGCUAACUCCGUGCCAGCAGCCGCGGUAAUACGGAGGAUGCGAGCGUUAUCCGGAUUUAUUGGGUUUAAAGGGUGCGUAGGCGGUCCGGAAAGUCAGCGGUAAAAGCCCGGGGCUCAACCCCGGCGAGCCGUUGAAACUGUCGGA
rnacentral:rRNA from 1 species